rnacentral:lncRNA from 1 species
GUACUUUCGUGGAUGCACAACUGCUUUUCAACUGGCAUGGGGGCCUAACGUUGACCUCAGGCUGUGAUGUACCUUGCCCUUUCGUCAUUUGACUAAGUGCUGCUUGCACUUGCCUUUGAAUCUCCGCCUGCAUCCAUUCUUCAUGAGCUUUCUCGCGAUCUUCUGACUGCAGAACAAAAGCUUCCAGGCGGCGGAUCCGCUCUGCCUCCUCAUCCUUCUUUCUCUGGCGGCUUCUGUAGGUAUCUUGAUCAGCUUGGAAUGAUUGCAGCCACGAAACUGCCCCAUAGCCUCUCGUACGCCCACCGUGCUCAGGAUUUUCAAGCGCAUAGGUGAGUUCAUCCUUCUUCCUGUUAGGCCUGAACUCACCUGACUGAACCGCCUCUCGUGCACGGACUAGUCUCUCUGCUACUCUAGAGAUUUCUUGGCCCCAAACUAGCACCCCGGUGUCUGGGUCCACGCUUCCUCCAUGACCGUAAAACCAAUGCUUGGAGCGCUCGCUCCAAUUCUUUGCUAUUGUCUCGGGUGUGACCCCCUAACAAGCAUCUCCUGUUCCAUUCGGUCCCACUUGGGAACUGCACUCUUAUAACCACCUGAUCCCAUAUGAUGGUGGUAUGUCUUUUUAUUUGUAUUCUCUUUGUUUCUAAUGGCUCGUUCCUCGCCCACUUCUGAUAUUUUGUACUGCACGAAGUCAUCCCAGAAGGCCCUCAGCUUUACAUAUUGCUUGAGGUUGAAAUUUGGACUCUCGUUUUUCUUGACAAAUUUAUUGUACAAAGACUUCUUCUAGUUCUGGAACAGUACCGCCAUCUUCUUCAUAGUCCAGUCAUAAAUUCGCAUCUUCAACUCUUCAUCGUUGGUGCUGAAGGUGAAAACGUUUGUGACGGCUUUCCAAACUAACUCCUUGUCACAAUCAGAGACAAAAACUGAUUUCAAGAGCACCUCGCUUCUCUCUCCAUUCACGAGCACUGAUCGGUAUUUGAUCUCUCACAAGGUAUCCACAGUGACUAAUAUAUUUAUUUGCAUGUUCACCAAGUGGUCUGCCUGUAGCUAUCUCAAACUCGGAGAUUACAUAGCGGUCCUCCAACGGCUUCUGCAUGUUCACCAAGUGGUCUGCCCUUAGCUAUCUCAAACUCGGAGAUUAUAUAGCGGUCCUCCAACGACUUCUUUGGCCCUCGUGGAGGUACGUUUCUCCCUGUAGAGGUCGAUCCAGAAGGCUACACGUAGAUAUAGAAAUAAAAAUACUAAAUUAAUAACCAAGUAAGUCUAAAACCUAAUGUAAGAGAUGCAUUAUAUAUGUUUACAUUUACAUACCUCGCCAAUAAUUUCUUCUUGUUGCACGACAAGUUGUUGCUCAGGCGCAUUGCCCCGUUGCUCAGGGGCAUUGCUCUCUUGUUGCUCAGUCGGAUUGCCUUGCAUGAUCUCGUUGUAAUCAAUAAAGUACUAACUAUCGUCGUCGAUCAUAUUUUGAAUGGCAUCUUCCAUAUAUUCAGGAUCAUCGUGAGGACGGUCGGCCAUUUCUAUGUCUGCAACCAUAUAUAUAUAUAUUCUAUAUAAGAUAAGAAAUACACUAGAAUAAUAUAAGUGCUAGAGUGCUCCAAACUAAAAAAUAAUACUAAAAAAAUAAUAACACUAGAAUAAUAUAAGUGCUAGAGUGCUCCAAACUAAAAAAUAAUACUAAAAAAAUACGAACAAUAACACUAGAAUAAUAUACUAGCACAAUAUAUUUCAUAACAAUUCAAAACACUAUAAUUCAUAAUAUAAUAGAAUAAUAUACUAAAAAGUCUUUUAAGCCAAGUAAUAUACUAUAAUAAUAUACUAAAAAAUAAUGCUAAAAAAUAAUACUAGAACUAGGUUAAUGCUCGUACGUUGUUACGGGUUUUAAAAUCCACAUACUCUAAGUUUCUUUAUUGUUAUUUUAUUUUUUCUGUCUAUAUUCUUCCUUUUUCAUUUCUUUUCAGUUUUCAUUUUUUGAUUUUAUUUUAUUUUCUAUCCUUUCCUUAUUUUUUUCUUGUUUUAAUUUUACCUUUUAUUUUCUUUUUCUUUUGGUUUUAUUUUUAUUAUUUUUCCUUGCUUCUAUUUGUUUUUCUUUUUUCCUUUUCAUGUUUUCUAUGUCUCUUCAUUCUUAUUUUAUAUUUUAUUCCCUUUUAAUCUUCUUUUUAUCCUUAUUUAAAUUAUUCAUUUAUUUUAUUUGCUCUAUACACUUUUUAUCAUUUGUUAAUCAUGUUUGUUUUUAAUUCUUCUUCUUAGUAAUCUUAUUUUUUAUUUUUAUUUUCUAUAUAUAUGUGAUAUUUAUGUAGUAUAUAUUUAGUGUUCUAUGUUGUGUCAUGUCAUGUUUACAUAGUAUAUAUGUGAUGUUCUAUGAUAUUUUUAUGGUAUUCACUUAGUAUACAUGUAAUCUAUAAUAGAUGUGAUGUUCUAUAAUAUAUUAAAUGAUGUUCUAUGAUGUAUUUAGUGACGUUAAUGUUCUAUAAAUAUAUUACGAUAUUUAAAAAGUAACCCUUUGACAUUAUAUGAAUUUUUUUCUCCAUUUUGUGUUUUUAUUCUUUUCUUAUGCUUUUUACUCUAGAUAUUAUUAUUAUUUUUAUCUAUGUCAUGUAUUUAUAUAUUUUUAUGUAUAUUGUAGUAUCGGUUUCAUAAACCUAAAACCAAAAUACUAUUCUUCUAAAUCGAUAACAUUUUUUUACAAAGACAGAACAUUGUGUGUUGAACCUAGAAUAUUGUCUCUACUCAAUAAAAGAAAAUAUUUUAUCUUUAUAAGAUAAAAAUUCAUUAAUAAAAUUUUAUCUAAAUAUAUCUAUGUGUGAUCUUGUUUUCAAGGAUUUGUUAUAAGAAAUUUAGUGGAGCAAUCGGAAUUUAAUUUAUAUCUCUCGUUUAGGAGUUAUGGUUUUUUUAGUUUGCUAAAAUAAUUUUGCAUACAUAGGUGAGUGGGGCCUAGGUUGAUGGGAUAGCGUGUCAUUGCGCAGUAAAAAAGACCACCAAAGGAAUAAGAGUUGUGGACAGGUCAUCUCCAUAAUUUUUAGUUGUAGAGAUAAAUAUUCAUUAAUAAAUUUUUAUCUAAAUAUGUCUAUGUGUGAUCUUGUUUUGAUGGAUUUGUUAUAAGAAAUUUAAUGGUGCAAUUGAAAUUUAAUUUAUAUCUUCGGUUUAAGAGUUAUGACUUUUUUAAUUCGCUAAAAUAAUUUUACAUGCAUGGGUGAGUGGGGCCUGAGUUGAUGGGAUAGCCUAUCAUGACACAGUAAAAAUGACGGAAGUUAUAGCUUCACCAUGGGUGUGGUAGACGGGUCCUUUCCAUAAUUUUUAGUUGUAGAGAUAAUAGUAUAAACAAUAAUAGUAUAUGUUUUAAGCCAAGUAAUACACUUUGCACCUAGAAUAAUGUACUAAAAAAAUAAUACUACAAAAUAAUACAAGAAUAAUAGUACAAACAUUAAUAUAUACAAAAUAAUAGAAAAUAAAAUAUAUAUUAGAGACUUAUACACUACUACUAGUACUACUACAAAUAAAAGUGCUGGAGUGCUCUAAAAAAUAAUACUAGAAUCUUUUAAGCCAAGUAAUACACUAGAAUAAUAUACUAAAAAACAAUACUACAAAAAUAAUACAAGAACAAUAGUACAAACAUUAAUAUAUAUUAAAGACUUAUAUACUACUACUACAAACAAAAGUACUGUAGUGCUCCAAACAAGUAAUACUAUAAUAAUAUACUAAAAAUAUAUUAGCAUAAUAUAAUUCAUAACAAUUCAAAACACUACAUGUAUACUAGCAAUAUUUUUUAGUGUAAUAAUAUACUAGCAUGCAUUAUUUUUUAGUGUAUAUACUUAAAUAUAUAUACAUUUAAAACAAUUCAAAACAUUUUAUAUAAGAUAUAUAUAUACACUAGGUUAAUGCCCGUACGUUGUUACGGGUUUUAAAAUCCAUAUACUCUAUGUUUCUUUAUUGUUAUUUCAUUUGUUUUGUCUAUAUUCUUCCUUUUUCAUUUCUUUUCAGUUUUUGUUUUUUGAUUUUAUUUUAUUUUCUAUCCUUUCCUUAUUCUUUUCUUGUUUUAAUUUUACCUUUUAUUUUUUUUCUUUUGGUUUUAUUUUUAUUGUUCUUCCUUGCUUCUAUUUGUUUUUCUUUUUUAUUUUCAGGUUUUCUAUGUUUCUUCAUUCUUAUUUUAUAUUUUAUUUUCUUUUAAUCUUCUUUUUAUCCUUAUUUAAAUUAUUCAUUUAUUUUAUUUGCUCUAUGCACUUUUUAUCUUUUGUUAAUCAUGUUUGUUUUUAUAUUUUUCUUCUUAGUAAUUUUAUUUUUAUUUUCUAUAUAUAUGUGAUAUUUAUGUAGUAUAUAUUUAGUGUUCUAUGUUGUGUUAUGUCAUGUUUACGUAGUAUACAUGUGAUGUUCUAUGAUGUUUUUUAUGGUGUUCACUUAGUAUACAUAUAAUCUAUAAUAGAUGUGAUGUUCUAUAAUAUAUUUAAUGAUCUUCUAUGAUGUAUUUAGUGAUGUUAAUGUUCUAUAAAUAUAUUUACAAUAUUUGAAAAGUAACUCUUUGACAUUAUUUGAAUUUUUUCUCCAUUUUGUGUUUUUUUCUUAUGCUUUUUACUCUAGAUUAUAUUAUUAUUUUUAUCUAUGUCAUGUAUUUAUGUAUUUUUAUGUAUAUUGUAAUGUAAUAUCAGUUUCAUAAACCUAAAACCAAAAUACUAUUCUUCUAAAUCAAUAACAUUUUUUUAUAAAGACAAAACAUUGUCUGUUGAACCUAGAAUAUUGUCUCUACUUAAUAAAAGAAAAUAUUUUAUCUUUAUAAGAUAAAUAUUCAUUAAUAAAAUUUUAUUUAAAUAUAUCCAUGUGUGAUCUUGUUUUGAAGGAUUUGUUAUAAGAAAUUUAAUGUUGCAAUCGAAAUUUAAUUUAUAUCUUUGAUUUAGGAGUUAUGACUUUUUUUAAUUCGCUGAAACAAUUUUACAUGCAUAGGUGAGUGGGGCCUAGGUUGAUGGGAUAGCGUGUCAUCGCGGAGUAAAAAAGACCACCAAAGAGUUUGGAGUUGUGGACGGGUCCUCUCCAUAAUUUUUAGUUGUAGAGAUAAAUGUUCAUUAAUAAAAUUCUAUCUAAAUAUAUCCAUGUGUGAUCUUGUUUUGAAGAAUUUAUUAUAAGAAAUUUAAUGGUGCAAUCGGAAUUUAAUUUAUAUCUUCAGUCUAAGAGUUAUGACUUUUUUAAUUCACUAAAACGAUUUUGCAUGCAUGGGUGAGUGGGGCCUGGGUUGAUGGGAUGGCUUCACCAUGGGUGUGGUAGACGGGUCCUCUCCAUAAUUUUUAGUUGUAGAGAUAUUUUUAUAGAAAAAAAUCACUAUUAAAAAAUCCAUGGAAACAGAAAAAGUGGAUUUUCAUCAUACCCAAGCUAAUAUAAAACUCUAAUGUUAAUAAUUUAAAUCUAGGAUCUUGCCCGUAUAAGAUUAAGUGAACCUCAAAUAAGAAAACUGAUGACAUUAUUCUAAAUUAUCCUCAAAUAAGACAAUGCUUCUGCAUUAUGUGACUGUAUAUAUAACUCUUUGAAAAAUAACCAUAGGCUGCUAGGCACCUAUUAAUAGUGAGAUCGUUUUGACUCCUUGAAAAAUCUCCUGUGUCUCCUAGGCACCUAUUAAUAGUGAGAUCGUUCUGACUCCUUGAAAAAUCUCCUGUGGCUGCUAGGCACCUAUUGCCAUAUACUGUACAAGAAAUGUGGCAUGAGACAAAGAAUAGAAAAUAAUAUAGCAUUAGUGCAUUGUUUGUCAACUCUAAAGUAUAUAUAUGUAACUACAACAAAAAUGCGGUAAUACCUGAACUGUCCGUCAGUCAUCACCCAAGAGCCAGCAUAGAUAACUGGAAGGUACAGAACAUGCUAUUCAGUGUUUGGACUUCAGAACCAAUUAUGUUUCAGUUGACUCAAUCACAGAAUAUGGCAAUGCAUAUGAACUAAAGAGAUGGUGGCUUAAUACACGUGCGUAGCUACAGGAAUCUUAAAAUUUUCAAUAUAAUUCAACAUAUAAAAGUAAGAAAAAAUAGCAGAUUAGGAGCUCAAAUUUUCAACACAGUAAGAGUAUCAAAAAGUAAUGGGUCGAAAUAAAGACAAAUAAAUUUUAACCUGGCUUAGCAACAUAAUGUGUCGAGCCACAUUCAAAUAAAUAAAACAGCGUCCCCAAAUAAAUGAAACAACACUAAGGGCCUGUUUGGUUCCCCUUGCUAAAUUUUAGCUAGCUAAAAUUAUUUUAGCUACUCUUGGGCCUGUUUGGUUCCCUUUGCUAAAUUUUUUCAACACAAGAUUUUCCCAAAAGACCAAAGCAGUCUCAUCAGCUCAUCACAAUGUACAAGUGGAAAUGUGGGAAUGGAAAAAGGAGGUUGCAGAGCAAACAUUUCCAUCUCCAAAGAAAAGUUAUGAACAUGUAUUCAUCUAAUCAUCUCCAAGAAGCAAUUGGAAGAAUGGUGACCUUAGCUAAAAAAACUCUGUUAGAUCACUAUAAAAACAGUAAGUUGCUACAUGUGUGCAGCUGCUAGCUUUGGGUGCUCAUCUCCUUCAACCGGUAAAAUAUUUUGUAUAAGCAUAUUGGUGAGUGUCCGUGUAGUAUAUAAUAUACAUUUUGGAAACAACCAUAACAGCUCUAUAAAUUCUGAGUACUACCAUUUGUCUGUACUCCUAGUUUGGACAAAUGGAUUGCACCAACAAAAUCAAGGUACACAUAAAUUUACAUGCUCUCUCUUAGUUCUGUUCCUAUAAUUUUUUUGUGACUUAGUUCUGUUCAUAUAGGUAAUCUGCAUAUUUCAUUUAUAAAUCUUUGUAAUUGCACUCUAACUGAAGAAAUGGCUGUAAACCAUAAUCAGGGAGUAUGCAAUGCUGUAAAUCUUUGUAAUAUAUGCUGACCGUCAAUUCUUUACUACUGUGAUUGGAACAGAUUUUACUGUAAAACAUAAUCAGGGAGUAUGCAAUGCUAAUCACUACACACGCUGUUAAGUAAUAACAUACAAUUAUAAUUCAGUUUGGACAAAUGAAUAAUAUUGUAGGAUCAGGAUGGGAGAUAACCUUGUUAUGGCCCUGACGGUAGCGAUCCUGAGAACACAAA